rnacentral:rRNA from 1 species
AUUCCAGCUCCAAUAGCGUAUAUUUAAGUUGUUGCAGUUAAAAAGCUCGUAGUUGGAUUUCGGGUGGGUGCUAGCGGUCCGCCCUUGGUGAGUACUGCUAGUGCCCUCCUUUCUGUCGGGGACGGGCUCCUGGGCUUCACUGUCCGGGAUUCGGAGUCGACGAGGAUACUUUGAGAAAAUCGGGGUGUUUAAAGCAAGCUUAUGCUCUGAACGCUUUAGCAUGGAAUAUCAUGAUAGGACUCUGGCCUAUCUUGUUGGUCUGUAGGACCGGAGUAAUGAUUAAGAGGGACAGUCGGGGGCAUUCGUAUUUCAUUGUCAGAGGUGAAAUUCUUGGAUUUAUGAAAGACGAACCACAGCGAAAGCAUUUGCCAAGGAUGUUUUCAUUG